rnacentral:rRNA from 1 species
AUUGAACGCUGGCGGAAUGCUUUACACAUGCAAGUCGAACGGCAGCACGGACUUCGGUCUGGUGGCGAGUGGCGAACGGGUGAGUAAUGUAUCGGAACGUGCCCAGUCGUGGGGGAUAACGUAGUGAAAAUUACGCUAAUACCGCAUACGAUUUAUGGAUGAAAGCGGGGGAUCGCAAGACCUCGCGCGAUUGGAGCGGCGGAUAUCAGAUUAGGUAGUUGGUGGGGUAAAGGCCCACCAAGCCAACGAUCUGUAGCUGGUCUGAGAGGACGACCAGCCACACUGGAACUGAGACACGGUCCAGACUCCUACGGGAGGCAGCAGUGGGGAAUUUUGGACAAUGGGCGAAAGCCUGAUCCAGCCAUUCCGCGUGCAGGAUGAAGGCCCUCGGGUUGUAAACUGCUUUUGUACAGAACGAAAAGGUUUCUACUAAUACUAGGAGCUCAUGACGGUACUGUAAGAAUAAGCAUCGGCUAACUACGUGCCAGCAGCCGCAGUAA